ensembl:lncRNA
GGACACAAGUUUGGUGGUACAAUGAAAAGACAGAGACGUUUUGGGCUAGUUUGUUUGUUGUGUUCCACUCGUCGGCUCUCAUCAGGCUCACGUCGGCCCGAUUCAGCAAGUUGAAUCGGCGUCUGUGCCGUCAACAAGAGAGCAUGCUCUGACUGGCUGUUAAGCUACAGUUCAGCUAGCCAAUCAAAGCACGAGGAGAAAAACGGAAGUGGCGAAACCAAGCAAACGACGAAGUCAAGAGGGACCACCGCAUUUCUCAUUAAAUAUUUGCAAACGACAUGGCGGUGUGGAACGAGGCAGUUGAAGAUGAACUGAUCAGCUUGAUUAGGGUUAGGGUUAGGGUUAGAGAGACCAGCUGUGUACGACAUCACCGAAAAACGAUAUGCAAACCGAGUGGCGAAAGCAAACUCAUGGUAAACUCAUCGAAAACAAGCUUGUUAUAUCAGAGAAAGAGCUCAGGAAAGGGUGGGAUUCUCUUAAAACCCAGUAUAUGCGAUACAAAAGACUUGCACCUUCAGGAAGCAGUGGAGCUCAGAAGACUGGCAGACAGCAAUGGAUCCUGACCCGGCUGCAGUUUUAAGAGCCACACACACAAAAAAAGGAGAGAACAUCCAACCUAAAUAUCAGGGUAAGUUCACAGAAUAAUUAAUCUAGUAAAAAUUUAGUAAAAACUUUAUUGCUUCUUUCAUUUACUUAAUUUAACCUGCACCCCCCAUUUUGGGUCUGACAGCUGAAAAUGACCUACCUAACAUAAAAUUGUAACAGUUCCUGACAACAGUUUAUAAUGCUUUAAAAUAUAAAAAGUUAUAGACACAUAAGUGCCUUUAAAAUAUAAUAUACCACACUGAAUGUUGGUUUUUUUUUUUUCUUUUUUUUUUCAUAUACAAGUACAUGACAUAAGUCCUGGACCAAUCCAGAAAAGUAAUGGGUUGAAAAUGGUACGCAAACGCUGCUUUGUUUACGGUUUGUUUGUAUGCAGUACUAGUUCCGGUUUCCCUUUUUGGACCGACAAUACAAACUAAUACCACCUACAGGUAUGGAAAGGUAUAUCCUCUUGCGCAGGUGCAGAACGCACAUUCUAGUUUGCAGUCGGCUGUCGUCUGUUUCGUGUGUUCAAGCGCAGCUUUUUGACCCAGACGCAGCAGACGCGAGGCGACAACACAGUCGGCUUUCGUCACCGCUAGUUGGUUGACGUUGGCUUGGUGUGUCCCGGGCUUUAGCCAUUCUGCAUCUCUCUGCUGGCCACCAGAUCCUCU